GACGAACGCUGGCGGCGUGCCUAAUACAUGCAAGUAGAACGCUGAAGCUUGGUGCUUGCACCGAGCGGAUGAGUUGCGAACGGGUGAGUAACGCGUAGGUAACCUGCCUGGUAGCGGGGGAUAACUAUUGGAAACGAUAGCUAAUACCGCAUAACAGUAGAUAUCGCAUGAUAGCUACUUGAAAGGUGCAAAUGCACCACUACCAGAUGGACCUGCGUUGUAUUAGCUAGUUGGUGAGGUAACGGCUCACCAAGGCAACGAUACAUAGCCGACCUGAGAGGGUGGUCGGCCACACUGGGACUGAGACACGGCCCAGACUCCUACGGGAGGCAGCAGUAGGGAAUCUUCGGCAAUGGACGGAAGUCUGACCGAGCAACGCCGCGUGAGUGAAGAAGGUUUUCGGAUCGUAAAGCUCUGUUGUAAGAGAAGAACGAGUGUGAGAGUGGAAAGUUCACACUGUGACGGUAUCUUACCAGAAAGGGACGGCUAACUACGUG
rnacentral:rRNA from 1 species